UACGUAAGUUCCGAGCGUUGUCCGGAAUCAUUGGGCGUAAAGGGUACGUAGGUGGUCUUUCAAGUCGGUGGUAAAAGGCUACGGCUCAACCGUAGUAAGCCGCCGAAACUGGAAGACUUGAGUGCAGGAGAGGAAAGUGGAAUUCCUAGUGUAGCGGUGAAAUGCGCAGAUAUUAGGAGGAAUACCGGUGGCGAAGGCGGCCCCCUGGACGAAGACUGACGCUCAGGUGCGAAAGCGUGGGGAGCAAACAGG
rnacentral:rRNA from 1 species